rnacentral:rRNA from 1 species
UGCCAGCCGCCGCGGUAAUACGGAGGGUGCAAGCGUUGUUCGGAAUUACUGGGCGUAAAGCGCACGUAGGCGGAUUAGUAAGUUAGGGGUGAAAUCCCGGGGCUCAACCCCGGAACUGCCUCUAAUACUGCUAGUCUUGAGUUCGAGAGAGGUGAGUGGAAUUCCGAGUGUAGAGGUGAAAUUCGUAGAUAUUCGGAGGAACACCAGCGGCGAAGGCGACUUCCUGGGCCAAUACUGACGCUGAGGUGCGAAAGCGUGGGGAGCAAACAGGAUUAGAUA